rnacentral:rRNA from 1 species
AGUGAACGCUGGCGGUAGGCCUAACACAUGCAAGUCGAACGGCAGCACAGUAAGAGCUUGCUCUUACGGGUGGCGAGUGGCGGACGGGUGAGGAAUACAUCGGAAUCUACUUUUUCGUGGGGGAUAACGUAGGGAAACUUACGCUAAUACCGCAUACUACCUACGGGUGAAAGCAGGGGAUCUUCGGACCUUGCGCGAUUGAAUGAGCCGAUGUCGGAUUAGCUAGUUGGCGGGGUAAAGGCCCACCAAGGCGACGAUCCGUAGCUGGUCUGAGAGGAUGAUCGGCCACACUGGAACUGAGACACGGUCCAGACUCCUACGGGAGGCAGCAGUGGGGAAUAUUGGACAAUGGGCGCAAGCCUGAUCCAGCCAUACCGCGUGGGUGAAGAAGGCCUUCGGGUUGUAAAGCCCUUUUGUUGGGAAAGAAAAGCAGCAGGUUAAUACCCCGCUGUUCUGACGGUACCCAAAGAAUAAGCACCGGCUAACUUCGUG